AAACAGGUGCUAAUACCGCAUAACCAUCAAAACCGCCUGGUUUUGAUGUUAAAGAUGGUUCUGCUAUCGCUUUGAGAUGGACCCGCGGCGUAUUAGCUAGUUGGUGAGGUAAUGGCUCACCAAGGCAAUGAUACGUAGCCGAACUGAGAGGUUGAUCGGCCACAUUGGGACUGAGACACGGCCCAAACUCCUACGGGAGGCAGCAGUAGGGAAUCUUCCACAAUGGACGAAAGUCUGAUGGAGCAACGCCGCGUGAGUGAAGAAGGUUUUCGGAUCGUAAAACUCUGUUGUCAGAGAAGAACGUGUGUGAGAGUAACUGUUCACGCAGUGACGGUAUCUGACCAGAAAGUCACGGCUAACUACGUGCCAGCAGCCGCGGUAAUACGUAGGUGGCAAGCGUUGUCCGGAUUUAUUGGGCGUAAAGGGAACGCAGGCGGUCUUUUAAGUCUGAUGUGAAAGCCUUCGGCUUAACCGAAGUCGGGCAUUGGAAACUGGGAGACUUGAGUGCAGAAGAGGAGAGUGGAACUCCAUGUGUAGCGGUGAAAUGCGUAGAUAUAUGGAAGAACACCAGUGGCGAAAGCGGCUCUCUGGUCUGUAACUGACGCUGAGGUUCGAAAGCGUGGGUAGCAAACAGGAUUAGAUACCCUGGUA
rnacentral:rRNA from 1 species